GUUUCUGUAAAGGAAGGUAAUGAGCGGUAAACAAACUCUUAAAUGCACCAGGGGAGCACAGUGCUUACAGAAAUCCUUCUUAAAUAAGUCUUUUUUUUUUUUUUUCCUGUUCCUUCCUAUUGCCCUAGCAGAAAUUUGGGUUCACCUAGAAGCAGACCUUGAGAUAAGGGUUUAAGUGCAAAUGGUGUGUUAGGGAGUUCAUGCCAGGGAACACCAGUAGGAGAGGGAAUUGAUAGUGGGAAGGGAAGGAAAGUCAACACACGGCAUGUCAUGGAGCAGGUUACUACCUAGGCAAGGGAUGCUCAGUCCUGCGGGGCGUCUCUAGGAAACAGUGGAAAGACACACCUCAGAUUUGUGCCACCUGAGGGCGAAGAACCUGGGGUGUUUAUAUACUGGCUCCCUCAGUCACUGUUGGAGGGCUGCUUCUGGGGAGCGGGUGGGUAAUAGUAUCCUAGCGCUCUACCUUCUACUUGGGGAGGGGCUAUCGAAAUCCAAGAAAGCUCUUGGAUGGUAAAUGCUGGCGGUUGGAAGCCAAGCCACAUGUAAGUGGCUGAAACGUAAACGGCUGUGGGCAGGACACCAGCACAUCUGCUACACUUAGAAUAUGUGUGAGGAGGUGGCUUCUCCAUUGCUCCUGAGUGUCACUGCAACAACUCUUCUUUAUCGGUGUCUUCUAGAUGCAUUUUCUGCAAAUCAAAAAAGGUUCUGAGAGACUUAUUAUUAGGAACGUGAAGUAUUUCCUUCAAAAUAUUUUCUUUAUACAGAAAUACUAGGAAAUGGAACCAGUGGCCACAACCAAUAGAUUAAUAUCAAGCCUUUUCAAAAUGCUCCCAUCCGUCAUCUUCAGUGGAUGGAGGAUAUAGAAGCAAAUAUAUACAGCCUUUAUUCUCAAGAUUGUUUUUAUUCCACCAUCAGUGGAUUUCCAUGAUUAGCAAAGGCUAAUCGUAGAUGCUUUUUCAAAGUGUCCGUAUAUCCUUUGUUACCUCAUGGACCAUGGUGUGGCAGGCAGACCACUUGUAACUUGCCCAAGAGGGCAGGGGUCAAACAGAGGUAUGGGAUGCUGUCCUUUAUUCAUAGGUACCAGCUCCAAACACUGACAACUGAAAAGAGUGAUUAAAUCCAGGCAUCCUAACUCCCAUAUCUUGGAGGCCCUGGACCCUCGUGUUCCUGGUGACUCCUGCUACUGUCUUUAUUCCUAAUGGCACUCUGGCAGCUGAACCAAUCAUGCCCUGGUUGGUUUCCUACUGUUUUGAGGGUUGAUGAGUCUAAGUUCCUAACACAGCAUCAGAUGGGGAUCUUGGUGCUGAGGAGAAUUAAGCUCAUGGAGUCUCUACUGCACACAGAUGCCACAAAAGAGUGGAGCUGAACUUCCCUUGAGAGGCAUAUUGAUGGCCUACCAUCUUGGUAAAAUGGAAUUCAGCUCAGUUUUGUGUCAGACCUAAGUGGCAGCCUGUAUCUGUAACAGAUCCAUGGACUUUUUCUACUCUGACUCCUAAUUCUAGGCCCUGAUAUGUAAUUUGUGAGGUUUCAGAGCUAGAAAAAACUUUAAAGAUCAUCCAGCCAACCUGUCUAUUUUGCUGAUAAGGAUCCUACAUUCCAGAAUGGUUAAGUCACUGACCCAGAGUCAAACAGGGAGUCAAGAGCUGGGCUGAGAGAGAGCCAGUCUUUUCUCACUUUGCAUGAAGUUAGUUAAGAAAGCAGCAGAAUUUCUCACUGGAUUCAGGAGAAGUAAAUGUUUGGUGCCACAAAGUUUUCUGAAUACCUGCUGAAGAUAGUGCAAGGCUCUGUGGGGAUCUGAGGAACAGACCCUGUGCCCUCAGGGCUCUUACACUGUCUGCUUGAGCUCUUUGCUCCUUGCUUCCCAGCUCUCUUCCCCUGUUGCCACUCCCAAUUCAUCCUCCAUCCUAUUUUCACUUCUCUUGUUUUUGGUGCCAAAACCUAGGAACUAUUUUCUCUUUUCUUACAGCUUAUGUCCCUCAUUCCAACUCCCUGAUUCCCUUCCUCCACCAUUUCUCUGUUCCCAUUCUACCAGGUUCUCUUUCUCUUCUCUGCUACUAUAUAUUUCUUUUCCUCGUAUUUAUCUAUCACCUCCCUUGAGCUGCCCCUUCCUAGGCCCCCUUGCUCUCCCCUCUGCCACCCUGGAUCCUGGAAGCAUACUUGGUUAUUGUGGUGAGCGGCCUCUGCAAUGGCCAGUGGUCCCCACCUACUGGUCUCCAUGCCCUCGUGGAAUCCCUUCCCUUUUGGUACAGGAUGGACCUUGUAAGUCAAUUCUAAUGAAUAAAAUAUGACCAAAAUGAUGGGACAUCACUUCUACGCUUAGGUUAAAAAAAGCUGUGGCUUCCACCUUAGGUGCUCUUUGACUACAAGGAAGCUGGCUGCCAUGUUGGAAACUGACCUACCGAGAGGCCCAUGUAACAAGGAACUGAAAUCUCCAGCCAACAGCCAGCAAGUACCUGAGGUCUGCUAACCACCACGUGAGUAAUCCUCCCCCCGUGGAGCCUGGAAACAACUGCAGCCCCUCCGAUAUCUUGACUGUAGCCGGUGAGAGACCCCAAGUCUGAGGCACCCAGCUAAGAUGCUCCUGGAUUCCUGACCCACAGAAACUGUAAGAUAACUUUUAUUUUCCAAUUGGAGUACAGUUGAUUUACAAUAUUGUGUUAGUUUCAGGUGUAGCGCAAAGUGAUUCAGUUAUACGUAUAUAUUUUUUUCAGAUUCUUUUCCCUUACAGGUUAUUACAAAAUAUUGAGUGUAGUUCCCUGUGCUAUAGAGUAGGUCCUUAUUGGUUAUUUUAUAUAUAGUAGUGAAGUGUUUGUGUUGUUUUCAGCUGCUAAGUUUGGGGGGUAAUUUUUUAUGCAGCAACAUUAAAAAUGCAGAGUUGUCCUUUACAGACCCCCACUCAGAAAUGUGUGUCUUCUAUGACCUUGAGCAAAUCGCUGCUACUGUUUGGGCUUCAGUCUCCUCAUCUGGGAGGCUUUGGGCUUAGAGUCUAGUGUCUCAAGUCUUCUGUCCGUGAAGAUGUAGCCUGUGAGGUUACAACAAGGCCCAUCUCUUCUACUGUUUAGUGUAUGAAGCCCGGUUAAACCCGCACAUCUUUGUAUGUUAAGCUCCACGUCUUUAAAUUUGCCUCACGUUUUUCACUCCUAUUAUCUGAAGUCUGUUUCUAAUUUCUGACAGAAUUGCAGCGGCCCAUUGUGUGCCUCGCUCUGCAUGACAUGCCAAUUUCAUUUUGGAGUCACAGCUAUUGUCUUUUUCCCCACUAAUCUCGUUUUGCAAAAUUCCAAUAGAACCUGUGAACAGAGAGAGUUGCCCUUGUGCUUGAUCUGGGCGCUGUGUGGCCCCCAAACAGGGGUGGAUGAUAGACAGCCUGUCUGCCACCCGAGGCAUCUUUUCUUGCUUAAAAAUUUGUUCUCCAGAUUGCAGACUCCCUUCCAACGCUAGCAAAGACUGGAACAUAUUAAAUAAGAGCAGAGCUGAAAUUGGAUGGAAUGUCUCAGCCACUUAGAUUCAGACCUCUCUUUAGGGGGAGCACGUGGGGAAGAGGCCGGGAAGUGCCCACGUGGAUAAUGUGGAGGAAGACAGCUUCCAUCCCUUUCUUAUACCAUUCAAGCCUUAAACAGGGGUAACAUUUUUUCUUAAGCAGGGCCUAUAACCCAGGAUCCAUCACUUAUAUAUGGUGUCCAUGGCAACCAGGCAAUGGUAUGGGAUCCCUUCUCACUGGGGAAUUCCUUUUAUGGCUCAUUUCCGAAACCAGCAUGGCCAGUACAGGAGCCUGCAGUUUCCCAGUUGCUUAGCAACCAGCUCCUAUGCUCUAGUCACUAGGAAAAGCAGACAGUUAAAAAAAAAAAAAGUGUAGUCAGAAUCAUAUGUUACAUUCUUUCUACUUUGUCUCUUUAGAAUAAAAUAGUGUGCGAUAAGGAUGCGGGAAAGGGCAACCGCUCCCUGUUAAUGCCUUCACUGCUCCUGGCGGGCUUGCAGGCAGAGAGAGGGAGGAAAAUGUUAGCAUGCUUUCGGCUGGGAAUUAAGCAGCGCGAGCCAUCUGCACGUUGAAAGCUCUACAUUUUUGUCUUGUGGGGGCAUCAAGCAAAGGACAGCCCCCAACACCGAAGAAGUAUCCUGCCCACAGUGCCAGUAUGCCGAGCUUGAGAAACCCUGCGUUAGAGAGUCAGAAGAACCAUCUGUCUUGUUAAAGACAAGCACUACAGCCAUUUGGAAAACACCCUGGCCUCAAACAGAAGCCUGUCUAGUUUGGACCACUUCAAAUGCCUUGUCACCUCCAUUAUUUCUUUCUUAUAAUGCAUCAACCGGAGCUAUACGUUCCCUAUAAAGGGGAUAAUUAAAUGAUACAUUUAGAGGUUGCUUUCUCAUCCCUCCCAAGCAGAAUGAUGGAAUCUCACCUGGAAGCAGUGACAACCAGGAAAGGCGGAAGAAGGAUGUUUACCAGACACACAUGAACUCAGCUCCCC